AUUGAACGCUGGCGGCAGGCCUAACACAUGCAAGUCGAACGAGUGGCGGACGGGUGAGUAAUGUCUGGGAAACUGCCCGAUGGAGGGGGAUAACUACUGGAAACGGUAGCUAAUACCGCAUACCAUCGGAUGUGCCCAGAUGGGAUUAGCUUGUAGGUGAGGUAACGGCUCACCUAGGCGACGAUCCUUAGCUGGUCUGAGAGGAUGACCAGCCACACGGGAACUGAGACACGGUCCAGACACCAACGGGAGGCAACAGUGGAGAAUAUUGCACAAUGGGCGCAAGCCUGAUGCAGCCAUGCCGCGUGUAGGAAGAAGGCCUUCGGGUUGUAAAGUACUUUCAGCGUGGAGGCAUUACCCGCAGAAGAAGCACCGGCUAACUCCGUGCCAGCAGCCGCGGUAAUAC
rnacentral:rRNA from 1 species